UUCCCUUGGAUUACAUGUCCAGGAAAUGGGUGGCAUGUGUUUCCACACACUGCUAGUAGUGUGAGACUAGUUGUGUUCUCAUGUUCCAAACCUCUCCCUGUAAUUUAUUCAAUCAUGAAACCGCAAUGGAACUUUUGGCACUUAAUGACCUUCUACCAAUCAAAAUAUAUAUUGUUUCUUUGAUAGGUAAUUUGUGAUGUUGACCUUUUAGUCGGUGCAUUUUACCAGGAGGAUAUUUGCAAUUUAUUUCAGUAAUUCAAUAGUGGUUAGUUUUAGGAGUUCCACUAGUCAGGGUCAGUUUUAAUUUACACUGGAGGCUCGACAGCAGCGCUUGAGGCAAAGACUGUCAAAAGGUAUGCACUGACUGAUUACCUGGUCAUGAAGAAAAGUUCAGGAUACACAAAAAUAUCUGUUGUCAUAACUUGAUGUUCUUAGUAAUUCCAUUUGCUUAAGAGGGGAUACUUUAGCAGAAAGUAUAGUUUAGAGUGAAGAUAUCCAUUUAUAAGCUAAAAAACAUUUUUCCACAGCAAAUAACAGUAUCUCUUAACACGUGAUUCAAAGGAAAUAAGAAUUUCUUUGCAUCAAAUUAGCCAAUAAAAAAGCAAACGGAGAAUAUAUUUAUAAUACAUUCAAAAUCUAUAAUGGGUCUCUCAAACAGUGUCACUCUUUCUUCUGUCAGCCUAAAAUCCUGGUAUUUCUCAGUUGCUAGGAUACUCCAGCUGAAUAAUCUUUUUUCUUUCUCAAUAUUUCAAUUGUCCACUAUUCAAAUGCUUGCAUUAUGUACAGAAAGGAAAUAGUUCAACUGCAAAGUUUUUUCCAACAACAGCUAGUGGAUAACAACAGCAUACGUGCAUAAUAAAACAUGCUUUUCAUUUUUAAGAAUUGAUUUUUAUACAUUCAUACUAUAAAAAAGCUUGUUAUGACUGACAUGAAAUCGUUGGGCCAGCUUUUCCUUAGAUAUUUGCAUACCCU